UCUGGUCGGCAUGGACGGGCUGGACUGAAGGGUCUGUUUCCAUGCUGUACAUCUCUAUUAUUCUACUGGAUCUCACUAAAAACAAUAGAAAUUGUGAGUUCAUGCAUGCCAAACUGUUAGCAUUUCUCCCUGACAUAAAUGUUCAAUAACAUAAAUGUUGCCAAAACGUAAUGACAGUACCGUGUUGCGUAUAUUUCCAGACAAGUAAUUCAGAAACCUGGCUGAAUGAUCUGGAGACAUAGGACAUGGUCUUGGCUUCUCCGUUAGGGACUUGACAUCAGGAUCCAUUAGGAGUCACCACUCCACAGUGUGUGGGAAGCAAUCACCUGGGUGCGAUUUUCUUCAAAUUGACCAAUUGUUGACCAGAAGAGACAAACAAAACUGCAGAUGUUGGAAUUCAAAGUAGACAGUCAGGAGACUGAAAGAUCACAGCAAGCCCGGCAGCAUCAGAUGGGGAUGUCGACGUUUCAGGCGGAGACCCAGACACUGCUGUGGGGAAGCGCAGUCCACUCGGAGGG